AAAACCAAGCUCAAGUUUCACACCUCAAAACCCUACACAACCAACCCAAAAACCUGUACAACUUAUGAUUUCUCCUAUACAAACCCUUUCAGAAAUACUUCACCAGAUGGCACAAGACAACCUUCCUCAGUUCUUCCUUGAAGAUAUUUUUUCCUCUACCUUUGAGAUUGAAUCUCACAUGGACAUUGUCAAAUCAGAUGAAUCAAUUGACACAGAUGAUACUGAUG
rnacentral:lncRNA from 1 species